CCUACGGGUGGCAGCAGUGAGGAAUAUUGGUCAAUGGGCGGAAGCCUGAACCAGCCAAGUAGCGUGCAGGAUGACGGCCCUACGGGUUGUAAACUGCUUUUAUACGGGAAUAACGCGCCUUACGUGUAUUGCUUUGCAUGUACCGUAUGAAUAAGGACCGGCUAAUUCCGUGCCAGCAGCCGCGGUAAUACGGAGGGUCCAGGCGUUAUCCGGAUUUAUUGGGUUUAAAGGGAGCGUAGGCCGCAUGUCAAGCGUGCUGUGAAAUGUCCGGGCUCAACCCGGGCCUUGCAGCGAGAACUGGCGUGCUUGAGUGCGCGGAAGGCAGGCGGAAUUCGUCGUGUAGCGGUGAAAUGCUUAGAUAUGACGAAGAACCCCGAGUGCGAAGGCAGCUUGCUGCAGCGGAACUGACGCUGAUGCUCGAAAGCGCGGGUAUCGAACAGGAUUAGAUACCCCGGUAGUC
rnacentral:rRNA from 1 species